UGAGCGCUAGCGACAGGCUUAACACAUGCUAGUCGAGGGGCAGCGGGGUAGGAAUCUUGCUUUCUGCCGCCGGCGACCGGCGCACGGGUGAGUAACACGUAUGCAACCUGGCCGUGACAGAUGGAUAACCGGGAGAAAUCCCGCCUAAUACAACAUAAUGCCGGGAGGGGACAUCCCCUGCCGGCCAAAGGGGGCGACCCCGGUCACGGAUGGGCAUGCGGCGCAUUAGGUAGUUGGUGGGGCAACGGCCCACCAAGCCGACGAUGCGUAGGGGUUCUGAGAGGAAGGUCCCCCACAUUGGAACUGAGACACGGUCCAAACUCCUACGGGAGGCAGCAGUGAGGAAUAUUGGUCAAUGGCCGGAAGGCUGAACCAGCCAAGUCGCGUGAGGGAAUAAGGCCCUACGGGUCGUAAACCUCUUUUGCCAGGGAGCAAUGCCGUCCACGUGUGGACGGAAGGAGAGUACCUGGAGAAAAAGCAUCGGCUAACUCCGUGCCAGCAGCCGCGGUAAUACGGAGGAUGCGAGCGUUAUCCGGAUUUAUUGGGUUUAAAGGGUGCGUAGGCGGCCUGCCAAGUCAGCGGUAAAAUUGCGGGGCUCAACCCCGUACAGCCGUUGAAACUGCCGGGCUCGAGUGGGCGAGAAGUAUGCGGAAUGCGUGGUGUAGCGGUGAAAUGCAUAGAUAUCACGCAGAACCCCGAUUGCGAAGGCAGCAUACCGGCGCCCGACUGACGCUGAGGCACGAAAGUGCGGGGAUCAAACAGGAUUAGAUACCCUGGUAGUCCGCACAGUAAACGAUGAA
rnacentral:rRNA from 1 species